rnacentral:rRNA from 1 species
GAUGAACGCUGGCGGCGUGCCUAAUACAUGCAAGUCGAGCGAACAGACGAGGAGCUUGCUCCUCUGACGUUAGCGGCGGACGGGUGAGUAACACGUGGAUAACCUACCUAUAAGACUGGGAUAACUUCGGGAAACCGGAGCUAAUACCGGAUAAUAUAUUGAACCGCAUGGUUCAAUAGUGAAAGACGGUUUUGCUGUCACUUAUAGAUGGAUCCGCGCCGCAUUAGCUAGUUGGUAAGGUAACGGCUUACCAAGGCAACGAUGCGUAGCCGACCUGAGAGGGUGAUCCGCCACACUGGAACUGAGGCACGGUCCCGACUCCUACGGGAGGCAGCAGUAGGGAAUCUUCCGCGAUGGGCGAAAGCCUGACGGAGCAACGCCGCGUGAGUGAUGAAGGUCUUCGGAUCGUAAAACUCUGUUAUUAGGGAAGAACAAAUGUGUAAGUAACUAUGCACGUCUUGACGGUACCUAAUCAGAAAGCCACGGCUAACUACGUG